rnacentral:rRNA from 1 species
GAUGAACGCUGGCGGCGUGCCUAAUACAUGCAAGUCGAGCGAAUGGAUUAAGAGCUUGCUCUUAUGAAGUUAGCGGCGGACGGGUGAGUAACACGUGGGUAACCUGCCCAUAAGACUGGGAUAACUCCGGGAAACCGGGGCUAAUACCGGAUAACAUUUUGAACCGCAUGGUUCGAAAUUGAAAGGCGGCUUCGGCUGUCACUUAUGGAUGGACCCGCGUCGCAUUAGCUAGUUGGUGAGGUAACGGCUCACCAAGGCAACGAUGCGUAGCCGACCUGAGAGGGUGAUCGGCCACACUGGGACUGCGACACGGCCCAGACUCCUACGGGAGGCAGCAGUAGGGAAUCUUCCGCAAUGGACGAAAGUCUGACGGAGCAACGCCGCGUGAGUGAUGAAGGCUUUCGGGUCGUAAAACUCUGUUGUUAGGGAAGAACAAGUGCUAGUUGAAUAAGCUGGCACCUUGACGGUACCGGAAGAAGAAGCCCCGGCUAACUUCGUGCCAGCAGCCGCAGUAA